rnacentral:rRNA from 1 species
UGGGGAAUUUUGGACAAUGGGCGCAAGCCUGAUCCAGCCAUGCCGCGUGUCUGAAGAAGGCCUUCGGGUUGUAAAGGACUUUUGUCAGGGAAGAAAAGGCUGUUGCUAAUAUCAGCGGCUGAUGACGGUACCUGAAGAAUAAGCACCGGCUAACUACGUGCCAGCAGCCGCGGUAAUACGUAGGGUGCAAGCGUUAAUCGGAAUUACUGGGCGUAAAGCGAGCGCAGACGGUUACUUAAGCAGGAUGUGAAAUCCCCGGGCUCAACCUGGGAACUGCGUUCUGAACUGGGUGACUAGAGUGUGUCAGAGGGAGGUAGAAUUCCACGUGUAGCAGUGAAAUGCGUAGAGAUGUGGAGGAAUACCGAUGGCGAAGGCAGCCUCCUGGGAUAACACUGACGUUCAUGCUCGAAAGCGUGGGUAGCAAACAGGAUUAGAUACCCUGGUAGUCCACGCCCUAAACGAUGUCAAUUANCUGUUGGGCAACUUGAUUGNUCAGUANCGUAGCUAACGCGUGAAAUUGACCGCCUGGGGAGUACGGNCGCAAGAUUA